UACGAGGGAUCCUAGCGUUGUUCGGAAUCAUUGGGCGUAAAGGGUGUGUAGGCGGCCAUGUAAGUCAGUUGUGAAAGCCCCGGGCUCAACCCGGGAAGUGCUUCUGAUACUGCUUGGCUUGAAUAUUAGAUAGGUGAGUGGAAUUCCAGGUGUAGUGGUGAAAUACGUAGAUAUCUGGAGGAACACCGGCGGCGAAGGCGGCUCACUGGCUAUAUAUUGACGCUGAAACACGAAAGCGUGGGUAGCAAACAGG
rnacentral:rRNA from 1 species